UUAGGUUAAGUUAGAAAGGGCGCACGGUGGAUGCCUUGGCACUAGGAGCCGAUGAAGGACGGGACUAACACCGAUAUGCUUCGGGGA
rnacentral:rRNA from 1 species